rnacentral:rRNA from 1 species
AUGAGCAUGAUGCUGGCGACGCGACCGUCGCUCACCUUGCGGUCGGUAAGGAUAUUGGCCCCGGUCCGGAGGCCGUCAAUUAUGUUGGUGGCGCCCUGGGCCACAAGACUGUCGAUGAGCUGCUGCAACUGCCGCUGCGAGGCCUCGGUGACCUGCUGCAGCGGACAGAGCUUGGUGGCGAUAUUAGAGAAUGUGACAAUGGAGAGUCGGUCGAUGGGGCUGAGCUUCUGUACGACAAACCGCAUGGCGGUCUUUACUUGGUCUAGCUUCUCGCCCUCCAUACUGCCACUGACGUCCAUGACGAGCACCAGGUCCAGGCCCGGCCGGUCACUGGUGCUGUCGCCACCGGUGAGCUCCAGCAUCACCUUUAUUUUACACUCUUUCAGUGGGGCCCUUUUGCAGUGCUUGAACGCCAGCUGCACGCUCAGUGUUCUUUGUUUUCUUGGUUCAUCUUCAUUAUUCAUUACUAGUUUUCUUGUCUAUCGAAUAAUGGCCAGCUACGGCUGA